rnacentral:rRNA from 1 species
CAGUCGCCACGGUAAUACGUAGGUGGCAAGCGUUGUCCGGAAUUAUUGGGCGUAAAGGGCUCGCAGGCGGUUUCUUAAGUCUGAUGUGAAAGCCCCCGGCUCAACCGGGGAGGGUCAUUGGAAACUGGGAAACUUGAGUGCAGAAGAGGAGAGUGGAAUUCCACGUGUAGCGGUGAAAUGCGUAGAGAUAUGGAGGAACACCAGUGGCGAAGGCGACCCUCUGGUCUGUAACUGACGCUGAGGAGCGAAAGCGUGGGGAGCGAACAGGAUUAGAUACCCCGGUAGUCCCUGUCUCUUAUAC